GGGAUCCUCCCAUGUCCAAUCCCCGCCGCCACACUCCACCUUGUCGUCUCCCACCUCGGGAUCCGUCUCGACCCCGCAGCCAAUCCACAUCCUCUCCUCGAUUUCAGCCAUCAGCCAAUAUCCAUCGAUCCCCUCCACAAUCCAGCUCCUCCAAGUCGCCCCAUCUCUGCACCCGCGCUGAACGCAUCCCGCUUCGCCGAGCACACGCGGGACUCCUCGCUCCCGUUGUCAACCAUGCGCCUGUCGUCCCCGGGCCAGGAGCCCCUCGUUCAAGCGCCAACCAACUCCGUCCCGAACGCCCGCGGAAGCUCCUCCGCCAUGGACGCCAGGUCCCAGGGAACCGGCCCUACAUGGAGUUCGUCAGCUGCCUCCGCCACUUCUGUACCCGGAUCCGCACCACGCCACCUCGAUCCCCUUCGGCAGUAGUCGUCGCUGCUGACCUCCUGCCGUCGCCCGGAUCCAGUGCCCCUCCACCCGUCCGAGCUCCGGCGAGCCACCAGCAGGCCGUGCCCCACGCCUCUGCCCUUCUCCUUCCUUCCUCCUCUACUCUUCUAUCUCCCUCACAUCGCGACCCCUCUCUCUUCAGGUCGAACAGGAAGUCGCCAUGGGUGCCCCGCUGCCACGAGGAAUCGAUGGCUCCGGCCCUCCUCCAGUCGUCUUCAACCCCAGGUGCCGCCAAGUCCCUCGCUGCCGUCGACUCGCCGGAGUCCCUGCGUCCCCUGCAUCGUGUCGCCCUGCUUCAUCUCGCUGCAGGUGGAGCAGCGAGCCAGCGCCUGUUGACCGUGUCGCUGCCUCCAGAUCGACCUCCCGCGCCUGGGCCACCUCCCCUUCGCCUGUUGGUCAAGGCCCAGCCGUGCUAAGAUCCGGCCUGCCUGGCCUCCUGCUCCACCAACUGGGCCUAGCCCAAUCUUCAGUUUCGUUCCGGAGUUGUGAGGAUCCGUUCGACUACUCCCGUUCGUCUACUUC